rnacentral:lncRNA from 12 species
GGAAAAUCCAUCCCAAAUCCCAGCCCAAACCCAUCCCAUACUGAUGAUAAGAAAGGGGGGAAAAAACUACCAAAUUUCAAAAUGCAAUCUGACCUGGGGUCCAAUAUUCAGACAUGCAAAACUUUGGCCACGCUUCAGAGAAACCCAUCCCAAAUCCCAGCCCAAACCCAUUCCAAACCCAUCCCAAACCCCAUCCCAAAUUCACCCCAAAUCCCAUCCCAAAUAUUGUUCCAAAUCAACCCGAAACCCACCACAAAUCCAUCCCAAUCCCCACCCACGUCUCCUCCGUUUUCUCCCUCCCACAUCCCUAAAUCCCGUUCCCACUCCAAUCCCAGCUGGAUCCCAUUUUUCCCUCCCCAGACCUCAUUUCCCCCGUUUUUUCCCAUUUCCCCCCCUUUUCCCCGUUUCCUGUGCCCUGACCGUAGGCCUGGCCGCAGUUCUGCCAGUUCUUUGUUCUGCCGGUUCCCAGAUCCCAUUUUCCCACAUUUUAUCCCGUUUUCCCCAGUUUUUACCCAUUUUCCCCAGUUUUUAUCCCAUUUUCCCCUCUUUUAACCCAUUAUUCCCCAUCUGCCGUGCCCUGACCGUAGCCCCGGCCAUGGCUGCGGUUCUGCUGGUUCCCAGAACCCAUUAUCCCCACAUUUUACCCCGUUUUAUCCCAUUUUCCCCAGUUUUUUCCCCAUUUCCCCCAGUUUUUAUCCCAUUUCCCCCAGUUUUCUCCCCAUUUCCCCCAGCCUUUUCCCCGCCGGCCGUGCCCUGACCGUAGCCCUGGCCGCGGUUGUGGUUCCGCUGGUUCCAUUUGUUCUGCCGGUUCCCAGAUCCCAUUUUCCCACAUUUUAUCCCGUUUUCCCCAGUUUUUACCCAUUUUCCCCCGUUUUUACCUCCGAGGGCGGCAGCAGCUUCCGCGCCUCCUCCUUCCAGCGCAGCACCAGCGGCGCCGCCUCGUCCCGGCCCAGCUCCCCGAACAGAACCUCGUCCACGUACUCGCUCUUCUCGGGCAGGGAGUAGUUGGCUGCGGACGGGGAGGAGACCGCGUCAAGAACGGGGCGAACGCGGAAUUUACCGGGGAGAAAUCGCCAAAAAUGGGGAAAAAAAAAAACCCCAAAAAAAUGGGGAAAAAGAUCCCCCAAGAAGGGGAAAAAAAGGUCUCAGAAAUGGGGAAAAAUAAAUAAAAUGGGGGGAAAAUCCCUGAAAAUGGGGAAAAAAAUCUCAAAAAAAUCCCCCAAAAAUAGGGGAAAACCCCCAAAAAUGUGGAAAAAAUCCCCAAAUAAUGGGAGGGAAAAAAAAAAAUGGGGGGAAAAUCCCCAAAAAUGGGGAAAAAUCAAAAAAAAUGGGGGGAAAAUCCCUGAAAAUGUGGAAAAAAUCUCAAAAAAAUGGGGGAGAAAAAUAAAAAAAAAACUGGAGAAAAAUCCCCUAAAAAUGGGAAAAAAAUUAAAAAAAAAAUGGAGGGAAAAAUCCCCAAAAAUGUGGGAAAAAAUCCACCCAAAAUUGGGAAAAAAUCCCCCAAAAAUGGGGAAAAAAAUCCCCAAAAAAGGGGACAAAAAAAAUCCCAAAAAUGGGGGAAAAAAUUCCCCUAAAAAUGGGGAAAAAAAUUUAAAAAAACCAGAAAAAAAGUCCCUGAAAUAUUAGAGAAAAAUAUCCCCAAAAAUGAGGAAAAAAAUCCCCCAAAAAUUGGAACCUCCCCCCAAAAAAUGGGGAAAAAAAAUCUCCAAAAAAUGGGAAAAAAAUCCUCCAAAAAUGGGGGAAAAUUCCCCCAAAAUGUGGAAAUAAAAUCCCACAAAAAUGGGAAAACUCUGCAAUUUCUCCCUCAUUUUCAGAGCAAUCUUUUCCAUUUUUUUCCCACCUUUCAUCUCAAGCGUCCCGGACUUGGGCACAUCCUCACCCUCAGCUGUGAGCCCCAAAAAAAAGGAAAAAAAAAUCCCCAAAAACCAGGAAAAAAAAUCCCUCAAAAAGGAGACAAAAAAAUCCCCAAAAAUGGGGAAAAAAUCCCCUAAAAUGGGGAAAAAAAAAUCUCAAAAAAACCAGGAGAAAAUUCCCCCAAAAAUGGAAAAAAAAUCUAAAAAGAAAAAAACUGGGAGAAAAAUCUCCCAAAAAUGGAAAAAAAACUCUCAAGAAAAAGGGAGAAAAAUCCCCCCAAAAUGGGAAAACUCAGCGAUUUUUCCCUCAUUUUCCAGGCGAUUUUCCCCAGGUUUUUUCCCGUUUUUUCCCACCUUUCAUCUCCAGCAUGACGGACUCGGGCACGUCGUCGCCCUCGGCUGUGAGCCCCAAAGGAAAGGAAAAAAAAAAUCCCCAAGACCACAAAAAAAAAAAUCCCCCAAAAAGGGGAUAAAAAAAUCCCAAAAAAUGCGGGAAAAAAUUCCCAAAAAUGGGAGAAAAAUCCCCUAAAAAUGGAAAAAACAAAUCUCAAGAAAAACGGGAGAAAAAUCCCCCCAAAAUGGGAACAAAAACUCCCCAAAAAUGAGAAAAAAAAAAUCUCAAAAAAACCGGGGAAAAAAAUCCCCCAAAAAUGAAUAAAAAAAAUCUCAAAAAAACCGGGGAAAAAAAAAUCCCCCAAAAAUGAAUAAAAAAAAAUCUCAAAAAAACCGGGAGAAAAGCCCCCCAAAACCGAGAAAACUCAGCGAUUUUUCCCUCAUUUUCCAGGCGAUUUUCCCCAGGUUUUUUCCCGUUUUUUCCCACCUUUCAUCUCCAGCAUGACGGACUCGGGCACGUCGUCGCCCUCGGCCUGGCGCCGCAGCUCCAGGCGCUGCUGCCAGUCCGGCUCGCUGGGCACGAUCACCACCACCUUCCUGGAGAAGCCCUUGAAGGCCGAGAGCUUCCGGCGCUGCCCCGAGUUGUACACGUUGCACUGGGGGGGAAACGGGGAAUUCGGGGGGAAAAUGGGGAAUUCGGGGGGGAAAAUGGGGAAUUGGGGGGGGGGGGGGGGGGGGGGGGGGGGGGGGGGGGGGGGGGGGGGGGGGGGGGGGGGGGGGGGGGGGGGGGG